rnacentral:lncRNA from 1 species
GUGCCCGGCGUCGGUUCCCAGUGCCCGAUGUCGGUGCCCGGUGUUGGUGCCCGGUGUUGGUGUCGGUGCCCGGUGUCGGUGUUGAUGUCGGUGCCCGGUGUUGGUGUCAGUGUCGGUGCCCGCAGGGGCCCAGGUGGAGCUCAGAUCCUGCCCCAGGAGCUCCCUUAGAGGUUUCACCUCAGGGUUCCAGAAUUCCAGAAUUCCAGAAUUCCUGGCUGUUCCAUGAUCCUGGGAAGGGAUGAAGGCAGUGCUGGGGAGCCGGGAUUUGUGUAGGCGGGGCAAAACUGGGAUGGGGGAGUCAAAUUCCAGAGUGGGAGUGUCAGGGACUGCCUGGGGAUGGGGUCUGUGAGCCCCUCGGGGUGUGGGGUCGCCCAGAGGUGGCACCACGUGGGGACAGGCUGUUCUCUGUGGGAUUUAGGGACAAAGGGAGAGGAUGAGAUAAAGAUGGGAGCAGUUAUGGGAGCUGGGAUCCAGCACCAGCAUAGCCCCUGCAGGGCAGGGUGUGUUCAUUGGAAUCAUCACACCUGGAAGGGGCAGAGUCCUGAGCAAAACCAGCAAGGAGCAAAUAGGUACCGGGCUGGGCAGCAGGCCUGGCUCUGAAGUGACGUCCUGCAGGCAGAAAAAUAUCCCAAAAUCCAGCCAGGAAUGCUCUGCACCUCUGCAGCACUCAGCUGUGCUCUGUCCUCUUGGCCCCGCUCCAGCUGUUUGGGACAGGAGGCACCUGGGGACGAGCUGAGCCAGGGAUGACCCUUCUCUCCCUUCUCCCAGGCCUGGCACUCUGCAUUCCCUGGAAUUUUGGGAAGCAGGAGGGUGCCACCAGCCCCUCGGCCCCGCUCAGCCAACGCAGUGUCACAGGCGGGAUGGGAGAGGUGACACAAGGACAGCGAUGGCAGCGCUGGGAGCGGUGGGCUCAGCACUCCAGCAUCGUUCCAGGACCAUCCCAGCAUCCCGGGCAGGACCACCGGGGCUCUCCCGAGCCGGGUGAAGAGGCAGCACCUGGCUGCUAUAUUUAGGAGGAAUGUAGGCCAGGCUGGAGCAUCCCAGGCCAUCUCCUUCCCGCACGGAGCGCGGCAUGUGAGGGCCAGGGCAGGAGCAGGGGGGCCUGAGGGGGCUGCUGCCCAUCCGUGUGUGCCGGCACGCUCCGGCUCCGGCCAGCUGGCCGAGGGCUCCGGAGGUUUCUUCCCAAGGAUUUUUCCCGGGAAUGAGGAGU